rnacentral:rRNA from 1 species
GAUGAACGCUGGCGGCGUGCCUAAUACAUGCAAGUCGAGCGAACAGACGAGGAGCUUGCUCCUCUGACGUUAGCGGCAGACGGGUGAGUAACACGUGGAUAACCUACCUAUAAGACUGGGAUAACUUCGGGAAACCGGAGCUAAUACCGGAUAAUAUAUUGAACCGCAUGGUUCAAUAGUGAAAGACGGUUUUGCUGUCACUUAUAGAUGGAUCCGCGCCUCAUUAGCUAGUUGGUAAGGUAACGGCUUACCAAGGCAACGAUGCGUAGCCGACCUGAGAGGGUGAUCGGCCACACUGGAACUGAGACACGGUCCAGACUCCUACGGGAGGCAGCAGUAGGGAAUCUUCCGCAAUGGGCGAAAGCCUGACGGAGCAACGCCGCGUGAGUGAUGAAGGUCUUCGGAUCGUAAAACUCUGUUAUUAGGGAAGAACAAAUGUGUAAGUAACUAUGCACGUCUUGACGGUACCUAAUCAGAAAGCCACGGCUAACUACGUG